UACGUAUGGUGCAAGCGUUAUCCGGAUUUACUGGGUGUAAAGGGAGCGCAGGCGGCACGGCAAGCCUGAUGUGAAAGCCCGCGGCCCAACCGCGGGACUGCAUUGGGAACUACCGGGCUGGAGUGCCGUAGAGGUAGGCGGAAUUCCUAGUGUAGCGGUGAAAUGCGUAGAUAUUAGGAGGAACACCAGUGGCGAAGGCGGUCUACUGGACGGUGACUGACGCUGAGGCUCGAAAGCGUGGGGAGCAAACAGG
rnacentral:rRNA from 1 species